UAUUCCAUCGUAUAUAGAAACCACCUCUUCUUUAGCCAUUCAUCAGUUGAUGGACAUUUGGGCUCUUUCCAUAAUUUGGCGAUUGUUGGUAGAACUGCUAUCAACUCUGGGGUACAUGUGGCCCUACAAAUCAGCACUCCUGUAUCCUUUGGAUAAAUGCCUAAUAGUGCUGUUGCUGGGUUGUAGGGUAAUUCUAUUUUUAAUUUUUUGAGGAACCUCCACACUGUCUUCCAGAGCGGCCGCACCAGUUUGCAUUGCCACCAACAGUGCAAGAGGGUUCCCGUUUCGCCACAUCCUCGCCAACAUCUGUUAUUUCCGGAGUUGUGAAUUUCACCACCGCACUCUGACCGAUUGAGGCCACAGGCCUCAGACUUGCAGAAGGCGCCAUGAGAAGGGCAUGGAAGGAGAGAAGUUAUCAAAGCACCCCAGAUGGCCUCAGAGGGCCAGGAAGGACGACACGGCCCUUGGGGAUGACCACACCCUGGGUCGCAUUUGGGUCUCUCCGUCCAACUGCCUCUGCCCUUCCAGGUGAAGCAGAUCAUGGAGGAGGCAGUCACACGAAAGUUCGUCCACGAGGACAGCAGCCACAUCAUCUCCUUCUGUGGAGCAGAUAAGAAUGCUGAGGGAGACUCUAUAACCAGGUAGGAUUUUUAUGGAUUUGUAAAAAUGACAUUUGUUGGGGCACCUGGGUGGCUCAUUCGGUUAAGGGUGUGA